rnacentral:misc_RNA from 1 species
UGCUGCAAAAUUUAAGCCUCUGGAUUCUGGAUGAUAGUAAUGAUAGGUUCUUUGAGGGACCUGAGCAUCUCUCCAGAUAUUGUGGUGAUUAGCCCAUGUUGGGACUGGUAUAUAGAUUUGGGAAUCUGGAGAAAAUCGCUUUUGAAAAUCUGCAAAAAGUCGACAUGCACCAGUCCCAGAGAGAGAUUGCACUGCUGCUAUCCGUUUAUCUUUAAUGAACUCAGAGUUCUCUCCAUAGGCCAAUUUCAAUGUUUCUUCUACCAUUUUCACACUCCCUCCCAUUGGAAGAUACUCCAUGUUUAAUUUUCCAGCAAUCCUCCGCUCCGCUUCUCUAACGCAUUCCAAAACAACAGGCUUUCCAUUAUCAUCCCGGUAAGCACCAACUCCAACAUUGACUUUGUCAGGACU